UAACUUGUUAAACUUUUCAAAAAAAUAAACGCUAAUAACGUAAUUAAAGCUGAUUUUGCACCUCGUGCAAUUGCUGCAUAGUUUCAGCAACAGCCACUCUAUGAGCCCAACUUGCCGGUUUAUAGGGUAAAUUAUGCAAGUACAGCGUAAGUUUUCAUUUGGCGAUUUACGUCAAGUCAUAGUCAGAUGAAGUUGAUAUACUUUAAAAAUAUCUUUGAACUUUGAUUGGUUGCGGUAAUUUUCCUGUUAAAGUUUGAGUAUAAAAGUGCCUAUGAAUGUAGAUAUCAUUUCGGUAUCAUUUCGGACGCGAGUUCGACUCUCGCCAUCUCCA
rnacentral:tmRNA from 1 species